rnacentral:rRNA from 1 species
ACACGUAGGGGCCUGACGUUGUUCGGAAUCAUUGGGCGUAAAGGGCGCGCAGGCGGCCGUCCAAGUCCGGUGUUAAAUGGUCGGGCUCAACCCGAUCAUGCGCUGGAAACUGGGCGGCUGGAGUCCCGGAGGGGAUGCCGGAAUUCCAGGCGUAGGGGUGAAAUCUGUAGAUAUCUGGAAGAACACCGAUGGCGAAGGCAGGCAUCUGGCCGGAGACUGACGCUGAGGCGCGAAGGCGCGGGGAGCGAACAGGUUUAGAUACCCUGGUAGUCCGCGCAGUAAACGAUGCGCACCAGGUGUCGGGCGGCAGCGCCCGGUACCGGAGCAAACGCGAUGAGUGCGCCGCCUGGGGAGUAUGCCCGCAAGGGUGAAACUCAAAGGAAUUGACGGGG